rnacentral:rRNA from 1 species
GACAGAGGUCCCAAGCGUUAUCCGGAAUUACUGGGCGUAAAGAGUUGCGUAGGUGGCAGAGUAAGUUGGUAGUGAAAGCGUACGGCUCAACCGUAUACACAUUACUAAAACUGCUCAGCUAGAGGACAAGAGAGGUCACUGGAAUUCCUAGUGUAGGAGUGAAAUCCGUAGAUAUUAGGAGGAACACCGAUGGCGUAGGCAGGUGACUGGCUUGUUCCUGACACUAAGGCACGAAAGCGUGGGGAGCGAACGGG